AGUUGCCAUCUUGAGUUACGGCUAGACUCCGUGUAACUCAGCGUCGGAGGGAAAAAGGAAAAGAGAAAGGCUGUUUCUGUGGUGUUCCUUUUACACCUUGGCUCUGACCUUUCUCAUGCUACCUGUGCUGUGUACAGAGGAAUCCUGAAGCAUAAACCUUGUCCAAAAUGGAUUUUCCAGAGGCUUUGUGUCCUGUGAUAGCGCAAUGGAUUGAAUACAGAAGGAGUGAUAAAAAUUCAGAUGUCUUCUGUUCAGCCAGAGAUUUGCAAAAAGACUUUCCGAUUUGGAAGAUGGAAAAUUUCUGGAGAUUGGCGCACAACAAUGUGAAAUGUGAAUAUAUUUAACAGCAGUGUCCACUUGA